GGAGGGUGCAAGCGUUAUCCGGAAUCAUUGGGUUUAAAGGGUCUGUAGGCGGGCAUAUAAGUCAGUGGUGAAAGUCUGUGGCUUAACCAUAGAAUUGCCAUUGAUACUGUAUGUCUUGAAUUAUUGUGAAGUGGUUAGAAUAUGUAGUGUAGCGGUGAAAUGCUUAGAGAUUACAUAGAAUACCGAUUGCGAAGGCAGAUCACUAACAAUAUAUUGACGCUGAUGGACGAAAGCGUAGGUAGCGAACAGGAUUAGAUACCCUGGUAGUCUACGCCCGUAAACGAUGGAUACUAGUUGUUUGGUUUUCGGACUGAGUGACUAAGCGAAAGUGAUAAGUAUCCCCACCCUGGGAGUACGUUCGCAAGAAUG
rnacentral:rRNA from 1 species